CAUCUAUGGGGGUCUUUUGGUGCCUAUAGGGCAUCUGUGGGUGUCUUUAGUGCAUCUAUUGGGGUCUGUGGGUGUCUAUAGGGUGUCUGAGUGUCUAUAGGGCAUUUAUGGGGGUCUAUGGGUGUCUAUAGGGCAUCUGUGGGGGUCUGUAGGGUGUCUAUGAGUGUCUAUAGGGCGUCUAUGGGUGUCUGUAGGGCACCUAUAGGGGUCUGUGGGUGUCUUUAGGGCAUCUAUGGAGGUCUGUGGGUGUCUAUAGGGGGUUAUGGGUGUCUAUAAGGUGUCUAUGAGUUCCUAUGGGGGUCUGUAUGGAAGCUGUGGGGGUCCAUGGGGUGUCUGUGGGACUCUAUGGGAUGUCUACAGGUGUCUAUGGCUCACUAUAGGCCUGCGCAAAGGGAGUCUAUAGGGUUCCAUAGGUGCGUGUCUACGGGGUGUCCAUGGGGCUCUAUGGGGUGUUUAUGGGCGUCUGUCAGGUCUGUGGGGUAUCUAUGGGUCUCUAUGGAUGCCUAUGGGGUGUCUGUGUGUUUCUGUGGGGUCUCUAUGGGUCUCUAUGUGUCACUAUGGAGUCGCUGUGGGUCUUUAUGGGUCUCUAUGGGGUCUUUAUGGGUCUCUGUGGGUCUCUAUGGGGUCUCUAUGGGUCUCUAUGGGGUGGCUGCUCCCCACUGACCCCCCAUGCCUGCAGUGGAUGCUGAGAUCGUCUCCAUCGAUUCCUUCCCCAAGUCCCCCCCUCAGCGCGGGCUCGUCGUGGGCAUCACCUUCAUCAAGGACUCCGGGGACAAGCCCAGCCCCUUCCUCAACAUCUACUGUGACUAUGAGCCUGGCUCUGAGUAUGACCUCGACUCCGUGGCCCAGAGUUGCCUCAACCUGGAGCUGCAGUUCACCCCCUUCCAGCUCUGCCACGCGGAGGUUCGGAGCGGUGACAGCCUCGAGACCGUUUUCCUGCUCAGUGGCAAUGACCCAGCCGUGCACCUCUACAAGGAGGUGAGAGCAUCCCUGCUCCGGUCCCAUUCCUGCCCUAUC
rnacentral:lncRNA from 14 species